UACGGAGGGUGCGAGCGUUGUCCGGAAUCACUGGGCGUAAAGGGCGCGUAGGCGGCUCAUGAAGGCUGUGGUGAAAGUCCGGGGCUCAACCUCGGAUCGGCCGUGGCGACUCGUGGGCUGGAGCACUGUAGAGGCGGGUGGAAUUCCGGGUGUAGCGGUGGAAUGCGUAGAGAUCCGGAAGAACACCAGUGGCGAAGGCGGCCCGCUGGGCAGUGGCUGACGCUGAGGCGCGACAGCCGUGGG
rnacentral:rRNA from 1 species